rnacentral:lncRNA from 1 species
CACACAGCACUCGCUGCCAUCUGCCCAUGGCAGAGGGAAGUGGAGAUCACGCUCUGUCCCCUGCAGGAACUGGCGCCAUCAGGAAGACAGGGGACGAGAAGAUCUGUUCCCCUCCGUCCCCAGAUGAUGGCUGCUGACAGUUUUCUUCAGGCUUCACUGAAGCCAAGAUGAGAAGGAACAUGAGAAUUUUAGUAGAAGGAUGGAAAGAACUAAAUAUGGGAGCUUGGAAGGAAGGAAGAAAAGGAGAGCGGAAGUGAAGCGGUUUAAUCACCCGGCUGCAUCACCUAGACUGGAUUUGGGCAUUGAAAGAUGGAAGGCUGGAGCUAUUGGACCAAGAUAAUGACCAGAGAGCUACAAGGAAGCAAUAAAGGUGGAGAGAAGGGGGACCAAUUUGAAGGAGAGUUUCUGUGUCAACAGAACACAUCAGAAGGUGGAGAGGAAAUCCCGCCAUGCCAACCUGCCAAGCUGCUGGGAGCGCGAGGGACCCACCUGAUCAUGGCUUCCAUCCAGAUGCCGAAAGAGGGC